AUUGAACGCUGGCGGCAGGCCUAACACAUGCAAGUCGAGCGGAUGAAGGGAGCUUGCUCCUGGAUUCAGCGGCGGACGGGUGAGUAAUGCCUAGGAAUCUGCCUGGUAGUGGGGGAUAACGUCCGGAAACGGGCGCUAAUACCGCAUACGUCCUGAGGGAGAAAGUGGGGGAUCUUCGGACCUCACGCUAUCAGAUGAGCCUAGGUCGGAUUAGCUAGUUGGUGGGGUAAAGGCCUACCAAGGCGACGAUCCGUAACUGGUCUGAGAGGAUGAUCAGUCACACGGGAAUUGAGACACGGCCAAGACCCAUGGGGGAGGGAGAAGGGGGAAAUUUUGGAAAAGGGGCGAAAGCUGAACCCAGCCGUGCGGGGGGGGAAAGAAAGGUUUUCGAAUUGAAAAGCAUUUAAAGUUGGGGGGAAGGGAAGAAAUUUAAUACCUUGCUGUUUUGACUUUACAAAAAAAAUAAGCCCCGGCAAACUCGGUC
rnacentral:rRNA from 1 species